UCGGGAAUUUUGGGCAAUGGCCGAAAGGCUGACCCAGCGACGCCGCGUGUGGGAGGAAGCCCUUCGGGGUGUAAACCACUGUCAGGGGGGACAAAAGAGCGGGGCGGGAAUACUGCUUCGCAGUGACGGUACCCCCAAAGGAAGCACCGGCUAACUCUGUGCC
rnacentral:rRNA from 1 species